UCCCUGCUGGCUCAGAUGGUAAAGAAUCUGCCUGCAACGCAGGAGAGCUGGGUUCAAUCCCUGGGUUGGGAA
rnacentral:tRNA from 1 species